AUAAAGGCUUUUUUAAAAGCUAAAAAAUCUAAAUAUUUGCUAGUAU
rfam:Eutypa lata TCREL1 unplaced genomic scaffold EL1_03_scaffold_1008, whole genome shotgun sequence.